CAACAAGGAGGUUGAAACAAGUGGGUCCACGGGCCUUUUGCCUUUUGGAAUCAAUUGAGGUGUUACUGUAACUGUAUGUAUACAUUGUAGCUGUGUACGCCUACAUUCGUAUAUAAGUUAAACGCAGAGAAAUUCAGUCUUUCAAGUCGAUAAUGUAGUUGUAUCUUUUCUUUUUAUAACAAUGAAUACAAACUCAACUAUAAGUUUAUGUUGUA